rnacentral:lncRNA from 1 species
ACAGCCUGUGAUGUUGCUCUAAAAGAUCCUCUGCUACUUCCUGGCGGAUCCCUAACUGGCAGCCUGUGUUCUUGGCCACAGAUGUGGAGUGCACAGAACAACUUAAAGGAACCAUGUAGUUUUGCAGUAUAACAACUGUGCAACAGGAUGCAUUUUGAGGAAAACCAUGUCUGAGAUGGAUUAAAUUCCAAACUCUGGCUCUGCAAGCCCGAAUAACACUUGUUGCCUGGUGCCUUGCCUCCGGAGCGAGAACAGCAGGCGUUUCAUCAGGGAACAACAAAACAUCCUGAAGGAUUCUCAAAGGAAGGUCAUCCCAGGUCUUGCAACAUUUGCUCUCAUGUUUUCUCCACUGGGUCAAAAUGCUAAAGCAGAAUUCCUAGUUCUAAUAUUAUAUAAGCCAUAAUCUGUCUGUCCAUAACUCUUU